rnacentral:rRNA from 1 species
UACGUAGGGUGCGAGCGUUAAUCGGAAUUACUGGGCGUAAAGCGUGCGCAGGCGGCGCGUUAAGACAGGUGUGAAAGCCCCGAGCUUAACUUGGGAAUUGCGCUUGUGACUGGCGAGCUGGAGUGUGGCAGAGGGAGGUGGAAUUCCACGUGUAGCAGUGAAAAUGCGUAGAGAUGUGGAGGAACACCGAUGGCGAAGGCAGCCUCCUGGGCCAGCACUGACGCUCAUGCACGAAAGCGUGGGGAGCAAACAGG